rnacentral:lncRNA from 1 species
GUUUCAGUUUUAAGAAACUUUUUUAUAGGUGUAGUUAAUCAUUUGUAAUUAUAGAAUAUUGUAUUUACAUGUAUUUUUGGUCAAGAUACUUUGUGGUUUUUAAUUUUAUUUUUCAGAAGAUGAUGGUCAAGAAAGCUGGGCUAGACCAUUACUUCUACAUCUGGUUUACCUGUGAACCUAUAUUAGUUUGCAGGAUUCCAGUAGUUGUUGUUUGUAUUAUCAGGUAUGUUUAUAUUAUAAUGUAGUUUUUUCUUUAACACUGAACACUUUAUAGUGGCCGUUGGUUUGGUGCAUUUAUAUAUU